CCCUUUCUCUCAAAUAUAGCUCCAUUUUCAAAUUUCAAACCAUAAUUUCAUUCUCUCUCUCUCAAAUCCAGAGUGCCUCUAUCUUUCAAAAUUCAUCUACGGUUUCAAGAUCGGCAUUUAGAUCAACACUUCCGAGUUACAAAAAAGUUCGAAUUUUAUGAAUUUCAGAUCAACACUUCACAAAAACAGAGUUAUAACUUCAAUCAAUGGUGAUUGAUGUUUGUUCUUUGAAGCUUGGACUGCUGAUGGAAAUAAUCGAAUCCGCUACAUCUCUUCUUCACCGAUUCACCAUUGAUAAUCAAAGGUAUGUUGGUAAUUUCAUUCCUUUUAUUAUAAUGUGUCGGAAACUGUAAAGAACACACCGAAACCGUGUUGGUUUGUGGCUUUGGUUCCUUGUGCUUUGAUGUGGGGUUGCUCGAGUUUGAAUGAUGAAUCUUUGGAACCUCAGACAUGUGAAUAUGGCAUGUUUUACUAUAGUCUGUGUGACGUUGAGGUAAAUUUCUUACUGUAAUAAGAAAUAAAGAAUUAAUCAUGCAGUGAAUUUAAAAAAUUGGCAUAAAUUCUUUAAUUAGCAUCUAAGAAUAUGUACAUGAUUGGUUUUGUGUAGGAUUUCAAGUACAGCAAGCAUUGUAAAGUUUGUUACAAAUGCGUCAAUCAAUCUGACCAUCAUUGCAGGGUAUAUAAGAAACUAAUAAUACAUAAUUACAUUUCUUUAAUAAUUAUUUUGCAGUGGCUGAAUAACUGUGUAGGCAAGAAGAACUACAAAAAUUCUUUAAUCUUAUGAUCUCCGCACUUCUCUUGGGGUAUGGACGUAUGGUACAUGUCCCGGUGAUAUAAGUGAUUAAGAGUUUGGUCUAAUGAAGUAACUUUUGGAUUGGUAUUAUAUGUUGGAAUUAUUGUUACCUUACCUUUUUUAUUUUUAUUAUGACCUUGAAGUUGGUUAGGUAGAGUAACCGAAGAAUGGGAAGAUCCAUUUUUUAUAGUGGGAUGCACAUGAUGUUGUCAAGAUAAAUAUGAGCUUUAUGCUAAACUCAGUAGAUGGGUCAGCAAAUAGACAAUUGUUGCUACUUAGAUUGAUUAGAUUAGUUUUCAUCUAUUUAUAUCACAUUAGUGCAUGCUAUUAGUUUGGAUCCAAUACAAGUUCCCUAUUCUCCAUUCACUCAAAACGAUUUAUCUCCUCUUCCCAUCCCACUACUACUAUGUUUCUUGAAAAUCCUAAUGGAGAUCUCAAUUAUAAUCUAAAGAGGUGUGUUUUCCUCCCCCUUUUAUUUGCUUUGCCUGGCUUUUUAUUUUUCUUCUUGCAUAUUUGUGAUAUAUAAUGUCUUGGUUUACCAAUCUUUUAGGGCUAUAUCGAUUGUGAAACGCCUUUAGUGUUGUUUUCGCUAAAGUAUGAAACAGUAUUGUUUAGUGUUACCGCUCAUGUGUUUUGUUUGUUCAUAAAUAUUUUUUAGAAGAGCGUUUAAUGAAAAAGGAUUUCACAAGAAGUUAGCUGAGAUGCUCUUGGAGAGGAAUUCAAAGGUUACGUCUUCAAAAUCAUGGGAGGAUGUGACAAACACGGAUUCCCGAUGUGACAAACAGGGAGGAUGUGACAAACAAGGAUACCUCCGGCUGACCGCAUUUUUAUCUCCAUGCAGUUCCACAGUUUCAUGGAGGAUAAGUAUAUCUUAGUGAUGGGACUGCAUUCAUUUUCGGUCAAGAUAUGCGAUUAAACCCCAAGGCUGCUCACCAGCUUGACCUAAAUGCCUUGGAGCGCCUCUCGCUUUUUAAAGCCAAGCUUAUUUUUACAAAACGAAAUGUCAAUGUUUGGUCAUCUUAUCUUUGAAAUUUGACCAACAAUAAAUGUUAUGUUGCAGGUUUGUAGUUGUUUUAAAAUACAUCAAAAUUUUGGUGAUCAACAUUGUAUCUAUUGAUUCUACAGAUAUGCUAACGAUAAUAUACUAACGAGGCUUAUUUGGAAUAUAUCAUCACUGGUGUGAAUCAUACAGCACAUAUUCAAGGUCUUAUGAUUUCUUUACUCGGACCAUCUAUUCUCCAACAAACAAAGACAAAUGGAUAAAAAUCAAGAGAAGUUAGCUCUUAAUAGUGAAGCAAGGCGUGCCAGACAAGUGGUGAAGUUUUAUACAACGAGGGAAAGAUUGUUCAUAUGCUAACCCUCACCUUCUAUGCUUAGAAGCGGUGCUAAGUCGGGUUUAGAAGGUGAUGAUGUGGCAACCCCUAAAGCAAUGAGUAGUUAUUUACAUCUUAGAUUGACAUCUCUUCUUGAAGAAGCCAAGACGAUUUGAGCUACAAGCGUUCCUAUGGUUGUUACAUGGAUGCUCAAAAUGGCCCGUCAUUGGGUAGUAAGUAUCUUACUUUGUGCUUUUCCUUUUGAAGAACAAGAAAAAAAUAUUUUUAUUUACUGCUCUGUAUCCUUGAUUGGAUUUUGUAAACCUCUAAAGAUGAGAAUUUGCUAUGUGUAUAUUGAUAAAGCGUAUGCACUAAUUUUAACGUUAUUUUACUGUUUUCGUGAAAAUAACGUUAAAAGAGGGGAUGGUUAAUCAUGCAUCAUGUGGUGGCGGAGUGGUAGCUACACUGCGUAAGGUGGUGAAAAGGGUUUUGGACGUCAAAUAAAUUCCAUUGUUGGGAGUAAACGUACUCUGCUAGAGAUAGACUAGGAGAUACCGUGGAGCUUAGUAAUAAAAGGUUUGCUAUUUUCUCUAUUUGUUACCCCUUUACUCUUUAUGACAAUUUACAUUACCAAUAUCUCGCUUAAUAGAGCUCUCUACCAAUGGCAAAGAUGAGUAUAUAUGUCUGGAAAACUAUUUAGGAUUUCAAUUUAUAUGGUACAAGUUCUAGGAUUGAUGCACAACCUUUUCAACUUAAACUAUGAAAGGUGUCUGUCUAGCUUAUGAUGUUUGCUAUAUCUUUUUAUACAAUGCAUCUAACUGGUAAGUUAGUAGAAUAUCAUUACUAAAAUUCAUGGUUAGUUGUUGUUACUUGAGCAUCAAGUUAGGGGGAUUUUGUGAACCAACAUCAGUGUUAAUAGAUACUUUAUACGGAUUAUUAUUGUGCAAGAGUUAUUGUAGCUUGCUAAUUAUAAGUUACCAUUUACAUGAGUAGAAAUUGUUGUGACAUUAAUUAUAUAAUCAUUUGAUAUUUAAAGAAUCAAUUGUCACAAUUGCAUGAUUUACAAGUGUUACAAAACUAGCUUACAACCCCGUCUAUUACACGGGUUAAAUAACGAAAAAAUGUAAAUUAUAAACUUGUAUAUAAUCCUUAUCAAUGAAAUGACUUAUUUAGAUAAAAUAGUAAAACAAAAGAAUAGUCAAUUUUCGCUAUUCAAAAUAAUUUUCUAAGUUUUCACUUCUCUUUUGAGAUACUACAAUCCAUUUUAUUAUGUCUUAAAAAGA